CCGCGUUGACAGAGGCGCUUUACUGAUUGUGUUGUCUGCUACCAAUGCUCUGUCGUAACCUCUCAAGUUGCUACGGUGCUCAUAGGCGCUGCCGGCCUUCUCUGGGUGUCGCGUUCUGCGCCUUGCUGGUCGAACCCCCGCAGGCGGCGUACCUUCGCCGUUGCGCGGCGUCCUCAAGGGGUACAGGCACGGCGGCCUUGCUCAGCAGCGAUCACGCAUUGCUGUCUGUCUGCAAGCGCUGCGAGCACACCGCCACCAUGGCAACGCCACCAAAAAGGGAUUUGACAACGAAGGAGCAGGUUGACGAGCUAAUGGACUCGUUUGCGGAGGCCUGCGAGCUGAUUACCGAUGCGAAGGAAAGCGUCGGCACAACGUACUUCGCGGACGACAUGGAGGACGCGGAGAAGCAGACGCAAGAUGUCCUGAACCGCUGGGAGAGCCUGCAGGCAGCGCUGGAGCACAAGGGGACCGCAGAGGAGCUGCAGAAGGUUCGCAACAUGUACGAUCUAAAGAUCAAGCAGCUGAAGGCAGAGCUUGAGACGGUGCGUGAGGCUGGCGGGGCCGGGUAAGUCCCGCGCUGUGGUAGUCGCAGCGCUGCUUACUCACUCUUUUACACUCUCCAGACUACUUCUACCCCGUUCUCCCUCCACCGAGAGGUAAGCUAGAAGGCGUAGUCGCCACGCGUGCGCGUUGCUCGUGGGCCUCUUUCUGACGCCAGGUGACCCUAUAGCUUGUGUACUGCCGCUGCGCAAAGGCCUCCUCUCUCCACUGUGGUCUGCUUCAGCCCGAUGAUGAUAGUGCGCAUAUGUCCACCUUGUCUUCCUUCUCUCUCCCCCAGGAGGAAAGGAGCCACUUUAAACGUUUCGCGUAACAGCGUUUUGUGUGUCUGCGUGUGUGUGGGGGGGGGGCGGGCGACGGAUUUCUUUUGUUGUUUCUGUGUCGCCGGCGCGCAGGUGGUCGGUUGCCACUGCAAGGAAAAGCGAAGAGGUCUCUCAUACCUGCGUGACUGCACUCCACAUACGCAGUAGCCGGGAAGCAACGGUGUGACCGCUUCUGCUCGUUUUCUCACAUCGAGAUGGGUCUUUAGCUCCCUCAUGCACACGGAUGUUGGGCGCUGCACGGAUGGUUGCGUAUCGUAUUUGCACCUGUGUGCGCGCUUGUGCCGGCCUUGGCGCCACCCCUUCUUAUUCAGCCUUCCCCUUUGCCUUUCGGCGCUCGCUGCCCAUGUUGGUCCAUUGCUGCACCGGCAACGUCUUUGUGC
rnacentral:misc_RNA from 1 species